rnacentral:rRNA from 1 species
AGCAGUAGCCACGGGAAUACGAGGGGAGCUAGCGUUGUUCGGAAUUACUGGGCGUAAAGCGCGCGUAGGCGGCUUUUUAAGUCAGAGGUGAAAGCCCGGGGCUCAACCCCGGAAUUGCCUUUGAAACUGGAAAGCUAGAAUCUUGGAGAGGUCAGUGGAAUUCCGAGUGUAGAGGUGAAAUUCGUAGAUAUUCGGAAGAACACCAGUGGCGAAGGCGACUGACUGGACAAGUAUUGACGCUGAGGUGCGAAAGCGUGGGGAGCAAACAGGAUUAGAUACCCGCGUAGUCCCUGUCUCUUAUAC